AAACUUUCAAUGCUAAAGUUUCCAGUUUUCUAAGAUACCAAAGUCAUUCCUCUUAAAAACAGUUUUCUUUCUUUUACUCCUUGAAACUAAGUGCAGUUCAGUUAUUUGAUUAGUUGAUGCUAGAAUCUGACCUGGAGCUUAUAUAAUUAGAAGACACACUAGUUUUCCUCAUUUAAAAGCCUAGUUAGCAUAUGACAGUCUCGUUUCCGGGGAAGUCAAACCUCUACUGCUUCUUUUUAUAACCUUUAAGUUAAUUCAGAAUCCACAUAAGCCUUGAUCCGAGAAUGAUAUAAUAACCACAGCAAGCAACAUGGGAAUCUCUAAAGACAUCAAGAAAGCUUCGCAAAACAUGGUGUGAUGACUACUGGUGGAGUCAGGCCACAAGGUCCGGGGAAGAGAGGAUGGCCUGAUCCAGGAACAGUGAAGAUGCAAUGUUGAAGAAUAAGCUGGAGGAGAGAAGAAACAGGCACCAUGGAAAAA
rnacentral:lncRNA from 1 species